rnacentral:lncRNA from 1 species
CUCCUUCCUCCACUGCUACUUCUACAGGAAUUGUGAAGAUAAUGUUUUGGCGUCUUCAGCAGCCAGGAUUGUUGAAUAUUACAUAAGAAGCUCUCACCAAGACACCAAGGUAAAAUAUAUAUGACAAGCCAAAGACAGGUGCCAUAAAAAAAUAAGAAAUCUUCAAAGGGGAAAGAAAUUCCAAAAGUGGCAACAUGACACCACUCAUUCUCUGCCUACUUUCGAGGUAAGACGAUGUUGAAGUUCUGAGGGGGCUCAGUAAAUAACACCUCUCUUCCCCCUCCAGGUCCUGCACAAAUUGAAAACAUAAAAGGUAGCAGAUGGACUCAAAUGCCACCUUCAUGACUGAGGUGCCAAGCUGGAGGGCAGGAGUUGCCCUCUGGUCCUGGUUUAGGCUGACCUUCUGAACGGGGCCUGAGGGCAGGACCACACGGGCAGGGAUCAGAAAGGAGCUGGAGGAGAGCUCAGAAGGGAGGGCGGGCCCAGCUCUCUUGGCGGCCAAGGAAAAAGCCUGGCAUGUUAGAGCUGGUGCAGGACUCUCCAGGGUGACCGAGCCACCCAGAAGAGGGAAAAGCCAUUCUCCAUAACAAAAAGUCAGGACCGGCUGAAAGCCCCUCCCAGCCCUCCACCCUCCUUCGGCGGGGCUUCUUUCUGAGCUUUGCCCCAUCCCUGCCCCGUGCUGGUGACUGGUGUUUGGCUCCCUCCUAGAGAAAGAGAUGGGCCUGGGUUGGUUGAGAGAGAAAGAGAGAGAAAGGGAGAGACAGAGAGAAGGCUUAGCUCUUGUCCAACAGGGCCACCUAGAGGGACUCUCAGGCUUGAGCGGGAGAAGCAGAGUUUUGAGGCAGAGCUGAUCAAGGGAACCUCAACAAACAACCCCAGCCAUGGAGGCGGCGGUGUCUUUGAAGACCCCAUGAGAGCAUCAAACAAGGGAGAGAGCCUGGAACAAAUCAUGGUAGUAAAAUGGCGGCAGAGAGCUAGUAAUGUGUCUGCAAUUGGUGGGUUCUUGGUCGCACUGACUUCAAGAAUGAAGCCGCGGACCCUCACGGUGGUGUCUUUGGUGGCUGUUCACCCUUCCACAGUAAACAUGCUUGGGAAGCAACUUUGCCAAAAGCCUUCGGACAGUCCAGCGUCAACACCGCAAGCCAAGUGGAGGAGAAAAAUCUGCGCCUCUUUCUCUCAAGGGAUACUUUGUCUCUGGGGUACUUUCUGACCCAGUGGACCCCUGGCAGAAGUAAGCGUGGACUGUGGCUGCAGGACCACGCAGAGUCAACACGAACCGAAGCCAGGCCUUGGCCACGGCAGCUCUGGGGUCCAACCACUUGAUCAAUGCAGGAAAUGCUUUGAUGGCAGAAUUCUUCCAUGGCCAGCUUCUCAUAUUCUCUGGGACAGACACAAACCAAGAAAAAUGAGUGUGGCGCAGAAUCUGAUGUGUCCUUCCUUACCCCGUGCUGGUAGCAAAAAGUAUGUCUUGAACUUUUCUUUGUUACACACAGUCUGGGUAAUAACAGACUGAAGGAAAACUAAAGAAGCUUGGGAGGCUAAGUUCAAUGACAAAUGAAGAACUAAGGCAGAGAAAAAAGAGAAUUGAGAAAGUGUCUGGGUGUCUGGAGAGGUUGGGGGAAUAGAGAGGGAGGAGAUAUAAUUGGCCAGAUAACUUGAGAGUGGGAGAGGAGUGCAAACAUUAUUUUUGAGGCGCUUUGUUGGAUAUUUAAAAUGCACUCCUACCUUUGGCAUUUUCUCAAAAGGCAAGAAAGAUUUGUUUUCAAUUCUAUUUUUCUGCUGGACUGAACCAGUGCCAAGACUGGACCAUGUAGGAUCCUGGGUUUAUUUCAGUUACAUAAGCAAACGUUGCUGUGAUUUGGAAUAGUCAAAGUCAUGAAUGUUUCUCAACUUCCAUUUUGUCAGCUGCUUGAGUUUCUAUUCUGAGAGGUGCUAACUGUGAACAUUGUUAUUCACUUGUGUUCCCUAAAUCACUUUUAAUUAGUUUUAAUUUGAACCAAGAAUGUUCUACUGUUGAAACUAUGUCAAGAAUGAUCAAAAAUGAAAUUAAUAAAGAAUUCGCGUCAAAAAAAAUUUGCACUAAUAUUACAGUAUUUUAUAAUGUCUAUCUCAGCAGAGUCACAGAUAAUUUAGAAUUUUUAAUUUUGUUUUUAAGUGAUUUUCCUCAAAGCUAUAAUAGCCUUGGUAAAGAGUUUAGUUAAACAUUAUUUUUCACCUCUCACGCAUUUUGUGUAAUGAAAUUUUUCUAUCAUCUUCCAGUGGAAUUAAUUGCAUUGGUGCAAAAAAUGCAAUCAAAUCGAUGACUGAAUUUAGCCUUUGAAACCUCACGUCUAGCUGGGAUAGUUACUAUAUUCAUUACAUACUGAAAAAUGAUAAGCAGUAAGCUUUUCUGCUAAAAAACUGCCAAAGAUAAGUUUUUCAAGGCUCUCAAAAUAUCCUAAAGCUGACAAUACAAGAAAUGUUAAAAUAUUGUUGGAAUUUUUAACGGAAUCUUCCUUCUCUUCUUUUCCUGUUUAAGACAAUAGUAGUUAGUUGUCCACUAAUCGUUAAUACACGAUUUUCUAACAAAGACUUGCAUAUCCUUUUGGCUAAAAAGUGGCCAAAUAUCAGAGAGCUAGAAGUUUGGGAGACAGCCUUUAGUCUUUUCCAAAGCAUGUAAGCCCUUUUGAAUCAUUUUGGGUAAAUGGCGAAGAUUAAACAGAAUUCAUAAAGGGUUUCUGAUACAUAAGUGGAAUGUGCCUGUGAGGACACUACACAUGACAAUAAUCUAAGCAUGCUCUCUUUUAGUCCCAAAACGUGUAGAGUAAUGUCACAUGAAAUUUACAGGAGGCCAUUGACUUGGACUGAGCUCCUGCACCAGGCCUAACAGACCAAACCAAAAUGGAGUCACUCAUGCUGAAGUUCACACCACCAAGCCAAAACUGAGUUGUUUAUCCGAUCUUCCAAGAAAUCAAGAAAGACAGGGAGAUAACAGCCCAAUCCCCAAACAGGCCAGUUUUUGCUGGCAUGAUAGGAAGGCCCCUCUGCUUCAAACUUUCCAAAGAAAGUAACUUGGAAACAACCAAUCUGCUUUUUGUUCUCCGUUUCUGCUUUCCUCAACCAUUUUCUGACCAUAAAACCAACAUCCUUUGCUCGGCUCAUGGGAACAUUCAUUCUAUUUUGUAGAAUGAGGUGUUGCCCGAUAUUCUAGAUUUGCAAAUAAAAGCCAAUUAAGAUCUUUAAAUUAAAUCUGUUGUAACUUUGUCUUUUGACACUAAUAAAUGCACGAACAGGUUUCUUUAGAGAAAGCCCGUGAUAUGCAGGGUAUGUUUGACAAGUGCUGUGGUCAAAUGUGAUACUGUUUACAUUCUCAUUUUCAUAAUUUUCUUAAGUACUAUGUAAUUUGGUCUUGGGAAUGCUUCGCUAAUUACGGGUGAGGAGGAUGGGCCUUGUAUGUGACAGAAUGAUUUAGUGUUCUGUAGUUCAGUGGAAAGAGUGUAGAUGUGUUGAAUAUUUAUGACGUUUUACCUUCUCUCUUUGUUACAGAGGCCUUACAACAAAUUAAAACAUGUGUGUCAGCUCCCUAAUUAUCUAGCUAGACUUUUAAAGAUUGGCUAGUUAAGGCUGAAUUUUAUUCAAGCACUACUUCAUCUGUCAUACUAUUUUAAGUACAUUAGCCUUGUUAGCCUAUUAUAUGGCCAUGAUCAGUACUGUUUAAAUUGCCAACUUCUACAAGUCCCUUCUGUGUGCUCUGGCUCAAUCAAUGCAUUAGUGGUACUAGCUUAGUUUUGUCACAGUUCUGGGCACAUUGGCAGUCCCCGGGUGGGAGGCCUGGAGCUCCUGAGUAAACAUAGUGCAUCUGCCUGGAGCUUCAAUUUUACUUGAGGAUUUGGAAAAAUAUAAAUUAAUCGAUUUAACCAUUUAUUUAAUGUGCUCCAAUUCUUUAUUUAAUUGGCUGCAAAGCAAACAAAAUUAUGCAUUAGCUAUGUUAUGACUAAAACCCAAAUGUUGUUGAAUACUUUCAG